CCCGGUAGCUAAAUGCGGAAGAGAUAAGUGCUGAAAGCAUCUAAGCACGAAACUUGCCCCGAGAUGAGUUCUCCCUGACUCCUUGAGAGUCCUGAAGGAACGUUGAAGACGACGACGUUGAUAGGCCGGGUGUGUAAGCGCAGCGAUGCGUUGAGCUAACCGGUACUAAUGAACCGUGAGGCUUAACCUUACAACGCCGAAGCUGUU
rnacentral:rRNA from 1 species